rnacentral:misc_RNA from 1 species
GAAGUAGAUGAAUGCGGAAGCAAUGAGGCUCAAAAUCCAGAGUUGAGUGUUUCCAAUUUCCAUCUCUUUGUCAAAUUCUCAAACUCCAUUGACACUCCUCUGCACAUUUUUUACAUAACUUCUCCGCUUCUCUCUCCCAAUCCCAAACGCCAUCUUCAUCUAUAAAUUACUCCUUUUUUAAGUUAACUACGAUUCUUCUUUUCUUCUCAUUUCCAUUUUACUUCCAGGCAUGUCUAUUUCUCUCUUUUUCUGCUUUUAUUUUCUCUCCUUGUUGGGUUCCUAUGAAAAUUAUCCCAGAUGGGAUAAAGUUGAAUUCUUUACUCUUUUGUUCUUUACAUCUACUAUCCUCAACACAAUGAUAUUUCGAAGAUUAAUUGUGCGAAUAUGAAUAUCGCCAUUAAUUUGAUUGAGGUGGUUUUGGUUUUUUCUAUUAUCUCAAUAAAUGAUAAGGGGAUGGUUGGGUUAUAUGGGUUAUUUCUUGAUUUUGUUUUCGUUUUUUUCAACUAAAUUAGUUUCGUAUUUGUAUAUGUGGGGAUUUUGCUCUUAAUGCUUAUCGCUAUGAAAUGCAUUUUGAAAAGGAUUGGUUUAAUAUGUAGUAUUUGUUUGGGUUAGUUUAUGGUAUAAUUGAGGAAUAUAGUUUGUUUCUUCAUUGAUAAUAUCUGCUACUGUAGUUUCAACUUUGGGUAAUUAAAGUCUGGUUUGAUAAUUGUGAUCAACGAGGAUUAGAUCUGCCUUUGCCAUAUGUUUCUUUGUUGAAAAUGCCUUAAGGCAUGAAUAAAAAAAAAAGGAUUUUUGUUUCUUUUGUUAAUAUUGGUUUGAAAACAAGCAUACACCUCAACUAGGUUGUUGUUUUUCCUAGUUAAUUUUGUACGGUAUUAAAGUAAUUGAAAUAUUCUCUGUUGAGGGUAGAACUUAGAACUAAUCAAUGAUUAUGGAGGGAAUUGUGUAAUUUUAUAUUUGUUAUUAUUGUGAAGGGAACGUGUUCAAGUGUGUUUCUGUUUUUGGAUAUUUUUGCUUGGAAAGUCUCUGUGUUGGUUCUUAGUCGGACUGGCAUUUUCAACUGCUUAUUUGCUUUGAUCUCAGUAUGCGCUUGCUCUCGUAAGAUGCUGUUGGUUUUUGUGAUAUAGGAUAUGUGUACUCUAAGAAGGACCAUUAAUUUCAUUAUAGGGUAAAAUGGAAAAGGUCUGACAAUUAGUUAGCAAGAAUGUUUUCCUCAACAAGUCAGGAAUAUUGAAUCCAUUAAUUUAAGAUCAAUAACUUAGGAUGUUACAUGCAUGUGCUUACAUGUUGGACGUUCUACCGAUAUGCAGAUUUUUGCUCUUUUACUAGAUUCUAUAGAAGUUGGAAGUUCAGAAUGACAGUAGUUUUUCUGUUUUAUGAUCCUCUUAAUGCGUUCUUUAUUCAUUCUCAGGUCUAAGUGAAGUGCUCGUGUGAUGCAAAGUACAUGUUUCAGAAUCUUUCUUCGUUAUUUUUGAGUUAGAUGAGGACUUUUCCUAUGUGCUUUUCAAUCUUGCAAAUCCCCAGAUGCAGAAUUCACACCUUAGCUAACUUUUGGCAGGAAAGCUUUCACAGCUUACAACAUAGGACAUGUAGAAACAAUUCUAGCUUUAGGUUGCUAGGUUCCAAAGCCAAUGGGCCUGAAGGAGGAUACAGCAGACGAUGGAUUAGAAGACCUAUAAGUACAAAAACAGAAGGAACAAAUAAAAUCACUCGAAAUAGCAGUAAAUCAACCAGUAUCAGACAUGAAAUUUUAGAUGAAACAGUUUCAACUAGUGUGAAUGUAAAGAAAAAUGAGUUAUGCGAACUCCGAAAAACUCAAUACUGUGACAUCCAACGAAAGAUUCUUGAGACCGAUGAUUUGGCCAAGCUUGUGACAGUUAUUGUCUUUGAUCUUGAGACUACUGGCUUUAGUAGAGAGAAUGAGCGAAUUAUCGAGAUUGCACUACAAGAUCUUCAGGGAGGUGAAAACAGCACUUUUCAGACACUAGUAAAUCCUGAUCGGUAUGUUCCUAAUUCAAGUGUUCAUGGCAUUACAACCCAUAUGGUCUGCAGACCUGGCAUUCCAAGGUACUCUUGUUUAAAUUUUGAUAGUUUUAUUGGGUUCCCUUCCAUGAUUAAGAUACCACUUUAUGAACUGAAAGAUUGCAAUUUAUUUGUUAAGUUACAUUUGUAUCUUCUUUUUCCUUAUAUUUGGGAGGGAUGUGAGUUAAUGUAACAUUAUUAGUAGCUACUUGUUGUUUUAAGUUGCCUGCAUCUUACUGGAGUCAUAGGAAUAACAAGAUGCAUGUUCCAACUAUCGGCCCAUAAGAAUUUGGGAAAUCAUCUUGGCUGGCUGAAUAAGAUUUAAUAUUCUGAAUGCUUUUAUAAAGCUUGGGCCAGGUUGGAUAAAAUCACAGUGCCAUGAGAUUUUUGGUCAAACAUUUAUUUAGAUAUCAUUUAAUUUGGUAGAAGAGGGUGAGCCUUCAUGCAAUACUAAGGUUGCUCCAUUGUGAUAUGGACUUAUGGUUCUAACCAUUGAAAGAGUGUCUCUUGUAUCUCAUCAAAAGGAUUUUCAACUUCAUGGAUAUGUAUAUGUGUUCUUAUUUACAUGGCUCAAUCACUGUGAACAGCCUAAAGAUGCCUUUAUUUUUUCAGCUGUUGUUUUUCAAUUUGUGCCAAAUUGCCAGUUGCUGUCUUCAUCUUCUUUUUUUUUUUUCUUGA